CCUGGCUCAGGAUGAACGCUAGCUACAGGCUUAACACAUGCAAGUCGAGGGGCAGCAUGGUCUUAGCUUGCUAAGGCCGAUGGCGACCGGCGCACGGGUGAGUAACACGUAUCCAACCUGCCGUCUACUCUUGGACAGCCUUCUGAAAGGAAGAUUAAUACAAGAUGGCAUCAUGAGUCCGCAUGUUCACAUGAUUAAAGGUAUUCCGGUAGACGAUGGGGAUGCGUUCCAUUAGAUAGUAGGCGGGGUAACGGCCCACCUAGUCUUCGAUGGAUAGGGGUUCUGAGAGGAAGGUCCCCCACAUUGGAACUGAGACACGGUCCAAACUCCUACGGGAGGCAGCAGUGAGGAAUAUUGGUCAAUGGGCGAGAGCCUGAACCAGCCAAGUAGCGUGAAGGAUGACUGCCCUAUGGGUUGUAAACUUCUUUUAUAAAGGAAUAAAGUCGGGUAUGGAUACCCGUUUGCAUGUACUUUAUGAAUAAGGAUCGGCUAACUCCGUGCCAGCAGCCGCGGUAAUACGGAGGAUCCGAGCGUUAUCCGGAUUUAUUGGGUUUAAAGGGAGCGUAGAUGGAUGUUUAAGUCAGUUGUGAAAGUUUGCGGCUCAACCGUAAAAUUGCAGUUGAUACUGGAUAUCUUGAGUGCAGUUGAGGCAGGCGGAAUUCGUGGUGUAGCGGUGAAAUGCUUAGAUAUCACGAAGAACUCCGAUUGCGAAGGCAGCCUGCUAAGCUGCAACUGACAUUGAGGCUCGAAAGUGUGGGUAUCAAACAGGAUUUAGAUACCCUGGUAGUCCACACGGUAAACGAUGAAUACUCGCUGUUUGCGAUAUACUGCAAGCGGCCAAGCGAAGGCGUUAAAGUAUUCCACCUGGGGAGUACGCCGGCAAACGGUGAAACUCAAAGGGAAUUGACGGGGGCCCGCACAAGCGGAGGAACAUGUGGUUUAAUUCGAUGAUACGCGAGGAACCUUACCCGGGCUUAAAUUGCAGAUGAAUUACGGUGAAAGCCGUAAGCCGCAAGGCAUCUGUGAAGGUGCUGCAUGGUUGUCGUCAGCUCGUGCCGUGAGGUGUCGGCUUAAGUGCCAUAACGAGCGCAACCCUUGUUGUCAGUUACUAACAGGUUCCGCUGAGGACUCUGACAAGACUGCCAUCGUAAGAUGUGAGGAAGGUGGGGAUGACGUCAAAUCAGCACGGCCCUUACGUCCGGGGCUACACACGUGUUACAAUGGGGGGUACAGAGGGCCGCUACCACGCGAGUGGAUGCCAAUCCCCAAAACCUCUCUCAGUUCGGACUGGAGUCUGCAACCCGACUCCACGAAGCUGGAUUCGCUAGUAAUCGCGCAUCAGCCACGGCGCGGUGAAUACGUUCCCGGGCCUUGUACACACCGCC
rnacentral:rRNA from 1 species